rnacentral:lncRNA from 1 species
GUGCCGGAAUCUUUCUUAAUUCUCUCAAGCCCUAUUUAUAUUUUUCCAGCCACUUCUUUCAUCCUGAUUUCCAUCUCUUUAUUAUAAAUUAAUUAUUUGAUUUUGUCAACAAUGACAAACUUUUCUAUAGAGGAGAAGAAAUCCGUCUUAGAUUAUAAUUUGAAUUAACUAGUCCCGUUGAAUUGGAGCUUAUUUUCAUGAAAAAAAUCCAUC